rnacentral:rRNA from 1 species
GGUGAGUAACACGUGGGUAACCUGCCUGUAAGACUGGGAUAACUCCGGGAAACCGGGGCUAAUACCGGAUAACUUCUUUCCUCGCAUGAGGAAAGAUUGAAAGAUGGCUUCGGCUAUCACUUACAGAUGGACCCGCGGCGCAUUAGCUAGUUGGUGAGGUAACGGCUCACCAAGGCGACGAUGCGUAGCCGACCUGAGAGGGUGAUCGGCCACACUGGGACUGAGACACGGCCCAGACUCCUACGGGAGGCAGCAGUAGGGAAUCUUCCGCAAUGGACGAAAGUCUGACGGAGCAACGCCGCGUGAGUGAUGAAGGUUUUCGGAUCGUAAAACUCUGUUGUUAGGGAAGAACAAGUACCGUUCGAAUAGGGCGGUACCUUGACGGUACCUAACCAGAAAGCCACGGCUAACUACGUGCCAGCAGCCGCGGUAAUACGUAGGUGGCAAGCGUUGUCCGGAAUUAUUGGGCGUAAAGCGCGCGCAGGCGGUUUCUUAAGUCUGAUGUGAAAGCCCACGGCUCAACCGUGGAGGGUCAUUGGAAACUGGAAGACUUGAGUGCAGAAGANGAGAGUGGAAUUCCACGUGUAGCGGUGAAAUGCGUANAGAUGUGGAGGAACACCAGUGGCGAANGCGACUCUCUGGUCUGUAACUGACGCUGAGGCGCGAAAGCGUGGGGAGCGAACAGGAUUANAUACCCUGGUAGUCCACGCC